rnacentral:rRNA from 1 species
CUGGUUGGAGGGUAACGGCCCAACAAGGCGAUGAUCAGUAGCCGGUCUGAGAGGAUGAACGGCCACAUUGGGACUGAGACCACGGCCCAGACUCCUACGGAGGCAGCAGUGGGGAAUCUUCCGCAAUGGACGAAAGUCUGACGGAGCAACGCCGCGUGAGUGAAGAAGGUCUUCGGAUUGUAAAACUCUGUUAUACGGGACGAAAAAGGCGGAUGCCAACAGUAUCCGUCCGUGGCGGUACCGUAAGAGAAAGCCACGGGCUAACUACGUGCCCAGCAGCCGCGGUAAAU